rnacentral:lncRNA from 1 species
UUCCAUAAUUGUCUCCAACACUGGAUGACAUGCAGUACAUUAUCCCUGAUUAGCUGGAAUCACUCAGGCCACAUUGACGCCAUGUACCCAUGUAACCACUUAUAACAGUCUUGGCUUCACCCAAAGGAUCAUGGGAGCUGUAGUAUGUCAAGGAUGCUGAGGGUUGCUAGGAGACCCAUAUUCCACUCCCAGAGCUACAAUUCCCAGUUUCCUGUGAAGAGGUAUUGAAUGGCCAAACCUCUUUGUUUUUAACAUUGUUGUAACCUGCCUGUGACACUUAGGAUGAAGGGCAGGUAUUUGAUGAUGAUGAUGAUGAUGGUGAUGAACAUGCCAGCUGAAAGAUCUUCAUUAAGUUCAAUGGGAGAGGGGAGGACUGAUUUCCACAGAAUUGGGACCACAACACUGAUUUAUUGUUCAAUAUAACUGCAGUUUCAUGCCAUUUCAGGUGUGAUUUUAACCUUAGCUGAUGACCAGUGGGCUUAACGCUGUGCGUGGGGAGGCAGAGGGUGGAAGGACAGCCAGGUCACUGUGCCAGCUUAAUUGCAUCCAUCAGUCACUUUAUACAAAAGAAAAGGCCUCAAAGCAACUUGACAAGAUAAAACACAACAAAUAAAAGCAAAUUAAAAGCUGAAAAACUGUAAAACAAUGAAUAGUUCAGAAUACAUGAAUUGCUCAUCUAGUAACAUAUUAAUAAGGACCAGACCUACCCACCACAUUUAAAGAUGGAGGCACCUAGCUGCCAAAGCACUGAGUUACAAAAAAGUCUUAGCCCGGUGCCUAAAAACUGACAAGGAUGGCACCAGGUGUGUCUUACUGCAGACAGGGCCCACCACUAAAAAGGCCUGUUCUUUUGUGUGUACUGUCUUCACCUCACUUGGGUGGGGUGCAUGAAGAAGGGCCUCUGAAGAAGAAUACAGGGCCUGGGGUGGUUCAUAUGGGGAGAGGUAGCAGUAGAGGCAUUGUGGUAAUGAACUGUGCAUUGUUUUAGAGGUCAAAACAGCACUUUGAAUUGAGCCCAGAAAACAAUCUACAGCUAGUGCAUUAGGGCCAGAACUGGUGCAAUAUCAGACCCUCCAAGUGUCCCUAUUUUCCAGGGAUGUCCCUGAUUUAGAGAAACAGUCCUGGUUUCUGAUUUGAUUCUGGAGUGUCCCACUUUUCCUUAGGAUGUCCCUAUUUUCAUUUAAUGUUUUGUUAUAUUUUUAGAUAUGUUGGAAGCUGCCCAGAGUGGCUGGGGCAACCCAGUAAUAUGUGUGGGGUAUAAAUAGUAAUAUUAUCAUUAUGGAAUGGGAUGCCCCUAUUUUCAUCGGAGAAAUGUUGGAGGCAGGGGCGUAGGAAGGGGAGCAGUGGGGGCGGACCACCCCGGGUGCCCUCACUGAAGGGGGUGACAUUCGGUGCACAGCCUACCUGCAAUUCCCAAGCCUACCCUGAGCCGUUGGGGUAAGGGGGGAGCUGUGCCGCUUUGCCGACAGCAUUUCCCCUUUCCCCCUUCGUUUUCACAGCUUGGGGGAAGCUUGGGAGUUGCAGGCAGGUUGCAUGCCAAAUGUCUGCCAUGGGAGGCUCGCUCUGCCCCCAUGGGCAGUUCACUCCGCCCCCAGCUGCAGGGCACGCACUCUGCUCCGGGCACCCGAGCAGCUAUUCCGCUCCUGGGAGGGCACCCUCCGUGCCACGCCCUCCUCGGGAGCGCGCCCCCACCCUGGACAGUGCGGCCAUAUGCUCAGCCACUGGUUGGAGGGUAUGCAAAAUGUUCAGACCUGUUCAGGUGGAAUGACUGCUAUGUUCAGUUGACAACAGCCCCCUUCCCCUCCAUACACACUGGGUGCAAAAGGGGUUUUGAUUUCACCCAGAAUCCAUGAUUCCAUCGAAACUUAUAUGAAAACAGAAAGCUCCUGGAGGAAAGAAGGCUGGAUGCUGCUUCCAGCCAGAAGGAGAUAUCGCUGAAUGAGCUGGAGCUUGUCAAAGUUUGUUUAGAAUGCGUUGGAUAAGCACAGCCACUUUGUGUUAUAAAUGAGACGGGCAGUAAUUUGCAUGGAUUAGGAUUGUUAACAUUUAUCAAUUGCUGGCGUUUAAAGAACUCCCAAAUUCUUGAUAAUAGUAUCUCUUUGUAGUGAAGGAUUGAUGGUAGGAGUGAAAGAGGAAGGGGGGGGGACCCAAUGAAUUCAAAAGCUGCAGAGGAGAGGAAGCCAAGCGGCCCAGAUCUAAACUGUGAUACCAUUAGUGACUCCCAUAAAUCAAAUCAUUUUUAUAGCAAGGAGGCUGUUGAAUUACCAUCUGGACUCUUAAACCCUGAUAUCUAUUUCCGAACCAUUCCGUAAUAUUGAAAGUAGACUUAAUCCUUCCUUUCAUCUUUGUGACUCUGACGAGAUGCCAGUUCUCAUUUGGGAAAAAUUAUCUGAGUUUUGUUUGGGGUGGGGUCGAGGUAAAUAAAGGCAUGCGAUAUCGCAUGCAGGACAGGGGUGAGAAGGACACGGGACUUCCUUUAGGAGAGAGAAUAAUAGAAGAAAUAAAAUACACUGUUUUUUUGCAGAAGAUUAUAAGAAGCAAAGAUUAAAGUGAAGACAGUGGGAGGGAAAGGAAAGAUUGUUUUUGAGGUAUUUGAGGAUUAUUUCAAAUGGGGAAGGGCCAUAGCUCAGCGGUAGAACAUCUGCUUUGCGUGAAGAAAGUCCCUAAUUCAUUCCCUGGCAUCUCCAGGAGAACUGCUGCCAGUCAGUGUAGACAAUAGUGAGCUAGAUGGGCCAAUGGUUCUGCCCUGUAUUUAUUGCAUGCAGUGCUGUUUCUGUUCCACUGCAGUUUGCCUUCUGCCAAAAACUAUGUUAUUUGUCCCACUGUCUGCUGCGGUGAAAUUCUAUAACUUACAUUGUCAUUACAUUAUUCUACUUGAUUUCUUUCAUUGCAAAGGAAAUGCAAUGCAAAGGGUGUGUGUGUCACAAUAAAUUGCAUUUGUGGACUGAAAGCAACAACAACAGUGAUUACCGAUUGUUUUGCUGGAUUGAUUUCCGUUCUGGACAUGGGACAAAUAAGUGAGCAUUGACCAUUUCUGCUCCCCUUUCUGUUUCCUACAGGAUUCUCCCUGCUUCUGGACAGCUGAAGGUCAAAGAUUCUGCCUCUUUCCUGCCUUGUGCAAUACUAGGUUCAGGGUUGCUCUUACUCUGCCAAAUGGGUCCUAUAGGCAAGCUCAUCUUUCUGCAGCCUUACCCUUCAACAAAGAGACAAAUCCGAAGUUGCCUCCUGAAAGACUGCUGAGUUCUCCUCUGUGAAACUGAAAACCUGAGCCAUUUUGCAUGCUGUCAAGGAACUUAGCCUAAGGAGUUGCAUGAUAGAAAUGAAGUGCGAGAUUUAUGCACUAAACCUGAUAUGCACA